rnacentral:rRNA from 1 species
CCUACGGGCGGCUGCAGUGAGGAAUAUUGGUCAAUGGACGAGAGUCUGAACCAGCCAAGUAGCGUGAAGGAUUACUGCCCUAUGGGUUGUAAACUUCUUUUAUAUGGGAAUAAAAUGUUCAACGUGUGGGACUUUGUAUGGACCAUAUGAAUAAGGAUCGGCUAACUCCGGCCCAGCAGCCGCGGUAAUACGGAGGAUCCGAGCGUUAUCCGGAUUUAUUGGGUGUAAAGGGAGCGUAGGUGGAUUGUUAAGUCAGUUGUGAAAGUUUGCGGCUCAACCGUAAAAUUGCAGUUGAAACUGGCAGUCUUGAGUACAGUAGAGGUGGGCGGAAUUCGUGGUGUAGCGGUGAAAUGCUUAGAUAUCACGAAGAACACCGAUUGCGAAGGCAGGUCACUGGACUGCAACUGACACUGAGGCUCGAAAGUGUGGGUAUCAAACAGGAUUAGAUACCCUUGUAGUC